AAUGAACGUUGGCGGCAUGGAUUAGGCAUGCAAGUCGAGCGAGAAGUUUUAGUUUGACGCUUCGGUUGAUUUCUAAAAUGGACAGCGGCGCAUGGGAGAGUAACGCGUAGUUAUCUGCCCCAAGGUCCGGAAUAGCCUCGGGAAACUGAGGGUAAUGCCGGAUAAUAUCUACGGAUCAAAGGUGUGAUUCCGCCUUGGGAGGAGACUGCGUACUACUAGCUUGUUGGUGGGGUAAUGGCCUACCAAGGCUUUGAUGGUUAGCGGGCGUGAGAGCGUGGCCCGUCUCACUGGGACUGAAACACUGCCCAGACACCUACGGGUGGCUGCAGUCGAGAAUCUUCGGCAAUGGGCGAAAGCCUGACCGAGCAAUGCCGCGUGCGGGAUGAAGGCCUUCGGGUUGUAAACCGCUGUCAGUUUGGAGGAAGGGUCCGUGAAGAGCGGAUCUUGACCUAUCUUCAGAGGAAGUCCGGGCUAAGUUCGUGCCAG
rnacentral:rRNA from 1 species